rnacentral:rRNA from 1 species
AUUGAACGCUGGCGGCGUGCUUAACACAUGCAAGUCGUGCGGUAACAGGCGUAGCAAUACGUGCUGACGAGCGGCGAACGGGUGCGUAAUACAUGGGAAUCUGCCUUUUAGUGGGGAAUAACCCGGCGAAAGCCGGGCUAAUGCCGCAUAAGAUCUUCGGAUGAAAAGCGGGGGAGUCGUAAGACCUCGCGCUGAUAGAUGAGCCCACUGCCGGAUUAGCUAGUUGGGAGGUAACGGCUCACCAAGGCGACGAUCCGUAGCUGGUCUGAGAGGACGGCCAGCCACACUGGGACUGAGACACGGCCCAGACUCCUACGGGAGGCAGC